GACGAACGCUGGCGGCGUGCUUAACACAUGCAAGUCGAACGGAAACGCUCUGCCUUUGUGGGGUGCUUGAGUGGCGAACGGGUGGGUAACAAGUGAGUAACCUGCCCUUGACUUUGGUAUAACUUCACGAAACUGCGGCUAAUACCGGAUAGGAGUUCCUGCUGCAUGGUGGGGGUUGGAAAGUUAGGGCGGUUGGGGAUGGACUCGCGGCUUAUCCGCUUGGUGUUGGGGUAGUGGCUUACCAAGGCUUUGACGGGUAGCCGGCCUGAGAGGGUGACCGGCGACAUUGGGACUGAGAUACGGCCCAGAAUCCGACGGGAGGCAGGAGUGGGGAAUAUUACACAAUGGGCGGAAGCCUGAGGCAGCAACGCCGCGUGCGGGAUGACGGCCUUCGGGUGGUAAACCACUUGCGCCUGUGACGAAGCGUGAGUGACGGUACUGGGUGAAGAAGCGCCGGCUAACUACGUG
rnacentral:rRNA from 1 species